ACUUGAGCAUAUGAGGUUGCGUUAUCUGCUUGAGUGUAAACGAAAGCAGUGCCUGAAUCCACUGUUGUCACGGAGCUAAAGGCAGUGAAUUCCGUUAAAAUGGUCAGGUUUUGGUAAAGAGUUGGAAACAUCGUGCGGAGAUCCUUUGCAUGGGGUAAUACAGAUCCAGACGUCCAUCCAGAGAUUCAUUGAUUCCCAGUCCGCGUGGCUGGGUGGCGAGCCAACCGUGUUUGAGAAUGAAUCAAGUUGUUUUGGACAAACUGCCCGGAUCAUCCUCUUCAUCUUCGUUGUGGUAGGACAAACACUAACUCAAACUGAAAAAAAAGGGCCCCAACGGUGAAAUUGAAUUCUUGUCAACCAAGGCAAGUCGAACCGAGAACGAACUGAGCUCAAAGAAACUGAAAAGAGAGGGUUUUGUUUUGUUUAUGUGCGCACUUUAUUAUUUUAGUUUGUUAUUUUUCACAAAUGUGUUUUUUUUUAUUGUAUGUAUGUUCCACCUGUGAAUUUAAUA